CUCCAACAAACCUAAUACAUUCAAAAGUCUUCUUUCUUCUAAAAUCUUCUUUUCUUAAUUUUUAUCAUAUUUUGUACAUCCGGACAAGUUCCGGUUUCAAAUAAAUAUGUCACUAUCUGUGAGCUAUUCUACUAUGCUGCAGUUCUACUUUCAAAAUUGCUAAAUUUAGGGAAAUGCAAUUUGUUAAAUAAUCAUUUUGUGCCCUUUUUACAGGUACUCUAGUCCACUUUAAGCUCUAGAAUGUAAGCUUGCUUGAGCAUGGCCCUCAACGCCCUCUGUUCCUGUGCGUUCAACUUGUCUUGUUGCAAAUACAUGUCUGUUCG